rnacentral:rRNA from 1 species
GACGGGACCCGCACAAGCGGUGGAUGAUGUGGUUUAAUUCGAUGCAACGCGAAAACUUACCCACCUUUGACAUGUACGGAAUCCUUUAGAGAUAGAGGAGUGCUCGAAAGAGAACCGUAACACAGGUGCUGCAUGGCUGUCGUCAGCUCGUGUCGUGAGGUGUUGGGUUAAGUCCCGCAACGAGCGCAACCCUUGUCAUUAGUUGCUACAUUCAGUUGGGCACUCUAAUGAGACUGCCGGUGACAAACCGGAGGAAGGUGGGGAUGACGUCAAGUCCUCAUGGCCCUUAUAGGUGGGGCUACACACGUCAUACAAUGGAUGGUACAAAGGGUCGCCAACCCGCGAGGGGGAGCCAAUCCCAUAAAGCCAUUCGUAGUCCGGAUCGCAGUCUGCAACUCGACUGCGUGAAGUCGGAAUCGCUAGUAAUCGUGGAUCAGCAUGUCACGGUGAAUACGUUCCCGGGUCUU